rnacentral:lncRNA from 1 species
AAUUCUACUUUAUUUCAAUAAGCGCAAAAUGUAAAGAUUAAAGUGCGAGCGGAUAGAGAGAGAGUGGCUAAUUAAGCUAGCUCUCUAUCUUUAAUAAACAAGACAGUUGUAAAAGAUUGCUUUCUUUUAUCUGUUUGCUUUUUUAUCUGUAUGCACUGAUAGAAAAUAUUCUCUCAAUCUGUUGGUUUGUAGCACGGAAGAAACUUUGUUGCAUCCAAACCCGGAGAAUAAUGCACCUGCAAAUACACCAUCUCCCGAUAAUCAGGAAGUAGAGGUACUAAUUUAAUUACGAUUUAAAGUAAAUUAUUUCUUCCAAAACAUUCAUCCAUACAUAUAUAUAUAUAUAUAUAUAUAUACACACACACACCCACAUAUAUAACCUUGAAAUAUUAAUUUAAAAGUUGUCAUUUGUAUAUAUAUCAUGGGAAUAACUGAACAAAAUAAAAGAAAUAAUUUUCUUUAAAAAAAAAAAAAACAAACCAUUGACUAUUAAUAUAAAUAUUGCGUAAUUGAUAAAAUACCACAAAAACAAGAUUGGUGAAGUGGUUUGUGAACGAGACUUUCCUCCUUUGAGGGUCAAGGUUUGAGUCUCUUCAUGCACACUAAAUUUCUUACCUUUUUAGGAGCAGGAGCAGGAGCAGGAGCAG